ensembl:lncRNA novel transcript
CUGAACUACAAGGCUCGGCUGGUGAAGAACCUGCAACCCCGAAUUUAUUGUCCCUUUGCUGGGUAUUUUGUGGAAUCUCACCCAUCAGACAAGUACAUCAAGGAAACAAACACCAAAAAUGACCCAAAUGAACUCAACAAUCUUAUCAAGAAAAACUCUGAUGUGAUAACAUGGACCCCUCGACCGGGAGCCACCCUUGAUCUGGGAAGAAUGCUGAAGGAUCGAACAGACAGCAAGGGCAUCAUAGAGCCUCCAGAGGGGACAAAAAUUUACAAGGAUUCCUGGGAUUUUGAACCUUAUUUGGAAAUCUUGAAUGCUGCUCUAGGAGAUGAAAUAUUUCUUCACUCAUCCUGGAUAAAAGAAUACUUCACUUGGGCUGGAUUUAAAGAUUACAACCUUGUGGUCAGGAUCCAUAGCCGGGUGGAUGUCAUCAGACACGUGGUGAAGAAUGGUCUACUCUGGGAUGAGUUGUAUAUAGGAUUCCAAACACGGCUCCAGCGGGAUCCUGACAUAUACCAUCACCUAUAUAGAUCUAGAUUUUCACAUAUAAGGAUUCCUUAAAGCAAGGAACAUCAUAGUACAAUAAAAAUAAGACAAAAUCUCGUUCAAGGAGCUGUCUGUAUUCAACACCCUGAAAGUUCUGAGCUACAUCAACAGCUGGAACAGUACAGAAACACUAUCUCUCAGGGAGGACAGAGUACCAGGUUUUGGAAUCAUUUUCAAAUAAAACUCCCCCUCACACCACCCAACUGGAAGUCAUUCCUGAUGUGCUGUGAGCAGAAUGGGCCUGUGAUUUUGCAAGAAUGCAAAACCACAUGAAAAUUUCAAGAAUUCACUGAUCUGAUGCAAAAUAAAAAUUUAUCAUUACAUCUUGAACC